rnacentral:rRNA from 1 species
GAUGAACGCUGGCGGCGUGCCUAAUACAUGCAAGUCGAGCGGACGGACGAGAAGCUUGCUGCUCUGAUGUUAGCGGCGGACGGGUGAGUAACACGUGGAUAACCUACCUAUAAGACUGGGAUAACUUCGGGAAACCGGAGCUAAUACCGGAUAAUAUUUUGAACCGCAUGGUUCAAAAGUGAAAGACGGUCUUGCUGUCACUUAUAGAUGGAUCCGCGCUGCAUUAGAUAGUUGGUAAGGUAACGGCUUACCAAGGCAACGAUGCAUAGCCGACCUGAGAGGGUGAUCGGCCACACUGGAACUGAGACACGGACCAGAGUCCUACGGGAGGCAGCAGUAGGGAACCGGACGCAAUGGGCGAAAGCAUGACGGAGCGACGCGGAGUGAGUGAUGACGGUCUUCGGAUCGUAAAGCUCUGUUAUUAGGGAAGAACAUAUGUGGAAGUAAAUGUGCACAUCUUGACGGUACCUAAUCAGAAAGCCCCGGCUAACUACGUG